GACGAACGCUGGCGGCGUGCUUAACACAUGCCAGUCGAACGGAAAGGCCUGCUUUCCCUUGUGGAUUGCGGGUACUCGAGUGGCGAACGGGUGAGUAACACGUGAGUGAUCUGCCCCCAACUUGGGUAUAAGCCUGGGAAACUGGGUCUAAUUCCCGAUAGGACUGCAGGGUGGUGCCUGUGGUGGAAAACGAUUUUCUAGUGGUUGGGGAUGAGCUCGCGGCCUAUCAGCUUGUUGGUGGGGUAAUGGCCUACCAAGGCGGCGACGGGUAGCCGGCCUGAGAGGGUGGACGGCCACAUUGGGACUGAGAUACGGCCCAGACUCCUACGGGAGGCAGCAGUGGGGAAUAUUGCACAAUGGGCGGAAGCCUGAUGCAGCGACGCCGCGUGGGGAUGACGGCCUUCGGGUUGUAAACUCCUUUCGACCGCGAGGAAGCCACCUGGUUGGAAGGGUGGUGACGGUAGUGGUAGAAGAAGCACCGGCUAACUACGUG
rnacentral:rRNA from 1 species